UACAGAGGUCUCAAGCGUUGUUCGGAUUCAUUGGGCGUAAAGGGUGCGUAGGCGGCGCGGUAAGUCGGGUGUGAAAUCUCGGGGCUUAACUCCGAAACUGCAUUCGAUACUACCGUGCUUGAGGACUGGAGAGGAGACUGGAAUUUACGGUGUAGCGGUGAAAUGACGUAGAUAUCGUAAGGAAGACCAGUCGGACGAAGGCGGGAUCUCUGGACAGUUCCUGACGCUGAGGCACGAAGGCCAGGGGAGCAAACGGG
rnacentral:rRNA from 1 species